GCUGCCGGAUAGCUCACUCGGUUAAAGCAUCGCACUGCGACUGUCAUGGCGCGGGUUUGAACCCCGGUCGCACCA